rnacentral:rRNA from 1 species
UACGUAGGUGGCAAGCGUUAUCCGGAAUUAUUGGGCGUAAAGCGCGCGCAGGCGGUUUCUUAAGUCUGAUGUGAAAGCCCACGGCUCAACCGUGGAGGGUCAUUGGAAACUGGGGAACUUGAGUGCAGAAGAGAAAAGCGGAAUUCCACGUGUAGCGGUGAAAUGCGUAGAUAUCCGGAGGAACACCAGUGGCGAAAGCGGCCUUCUGGACUGCAUCUGACGCUCAGACGCGAAAGCUAGGGGAGCAAACGGG